AGGGUUCGAUUCUGGCUCAGGAUGAACGCUAGCGACAGGCUUAACACAUGCAAGUCGAGGGGCAGCAUAGAAGUAGCAAUACUUGGUGGCGACCGGCGCACGGGUGAGUAACGCGUAUGCAACCUACCUAUCAGAGGGGAAUAACCCGGCGAAAGUCGGACUAAUACCGCAUAAAACAGGGGCACCGCAUGGUGAUAUUUGUUAAAGAAAUUCGCUGAUAGAUGGGCAUGCGUUCCAUUAGGUAGUUGGUGAGGUAACGGCUCACCAAGCCGACGAUGGAUAGGGGAACUGAGAGGUUGGUCCCCCACACUGGUACUGAGACACGGACCAGACUCCUACGGGAGGCAGCAGUGAGGAAUAUUGGUCAAUGGGCGGGAGCCUGAACCAGCCAAAGUCGCGUGAAGGAAGAAGGGUCUAUGGUUCGUAAACUUCUUUUGCAGGGGAAUAAAGUGCAGGACGUGUCCUGUUUUGUAUGUACCCUGAGAAUAAGGAUCGGCUAACUCCGUGCCAGCCGCCGC
rnacentral:rRNA from 1 species